AAACAGCUAAUAAGCUAAGGUCACAAAGACAGUAAAGGGCUGUCUGAGGCUGGAUUUGAAUUCAGGUCUUUCUAAUGUCAGCGCUCUUAAAUGCAGAGGUAGGAUUAGAAGCCAGGUCCCCAGCCUCUAACCCCAAUCAGCUGCCUCUUAAAAGGGGUCCUGUAUGUACAAUCGGGGGUGUGCAGAAUGGCCAGACAGCAGCCAAUGUGACAAAAAUCUGGGCCCUGGUGUGGACUCUGAGCUUGGCAAGAGUUAGCCACGUCAGCUGAGGCUGCAUUAAGAGAAUCCCAGGAUGAGGAAGGUGACUAUUCUCCGUCCUCUGCCCUGGGCAGAACCCGCGUGGAGCGUUGUGCUCAGUCCAGGGAAGGACGAGUUGGAGAGAGCCCAGAGGAGGUAGGGGAGCACCUUGGGUCCUCCUGGGGCUGGCUGGGGGGCCUGGAGAUAAUUAGGUCAGAGGAGAGAAGACUCCAGCUUUUGGGGUCGUCACAUCUGAUGCAGCUCAAGGUCAGCUCCAGGACCUGCAGGGUCAUCGGCCAGGGCGGGCUUCGUCAGCAAGACCUGCCUGGAGUGCCCUCCAGGACAGCCUGCCCUGGGCCCUCGGCUUUGGGUCUGCUGUCUGUAACCGUCUGCCUGCCCUCUUGGCUCUGGCUUCCACAGCCUCAGGCCACGGGCAGGUCACGUGGGGCUAAGGGAGAGGCCCGAGCCAGCUUCCCACUGAGCUGUCCAAUAUCCUAAGUGUCCCUGCCCUCUCCCCCUUCACUGCUACAUCUUUCCUUGCAGGCCUAGCCAAAAGCUCUCCAGUCCACACUCCAUCCUGGCUGGCCCAAAGGCCUAUGGGACCCCAAAACAAGAAGUGAGCAGAGCCCCCAGCCACGCUGUUUCUGAGAAGAUGGGGCCCACCAAUGCCAGGCCUUCAGUCAGGCAGGGGGAUUCUCAGCCUUGGUGAUGAGACUGGUGUCAGGGCCUCGGUUUAGGUGGUGAUGUCCCAAGGUUCCUUGGGGAGGGGGCUGUUGAGGAGGUGGAACCACUUCCUAAACACUAAUGAAGAGCCUGUGACUUCCUGCUGAAACCAGGGGCUGAGGAGGGAGCAUGGCUAGCAAGAGAACCCCAUACGUAUAAGCUGCCAUCUUGUCACGGGCUCCUCUCAGGCCCGAUAAGCAUUUAUUAAGUAGCUACUGUGUACACUGGCUGCGAAGCUGGCCAGUGCUGGAGUCAGUGCCCCGGGGAUGAUGUUCAGCCCUCCCAGCCUCUGCAGGCCCAGGCUCACUCUCUUUUCUCUUGGAGAUCUGAGCCCCCAUCGGUGCUGGUUGCUCUUAGUUUCCUGCAGAGUUGGCCGUGUCCCUGGAGUUCCUUUCCCUAGCCCUCUCUGCCCUUUGGGAUGCCAGGGUUCCAGAGCAGGUUCAUUAACAGGCCUCCCCUGAGUUAUGUGCUUAAUCCUCCCUCACAGCUCAGCAGUAAGGCUGUGUUAGUCACUGGCUGUGACUCGGGCUUUGGCCUCUCCAUUGCCAAACAGCUGCACUCCCACGGCUUCCAGGUAUUUGCCGGCUGCUUUCUCAAGGUAGGGAAGGGCCACCUGACAGGUCCUGUGGGGUGUGCACUCCCCACCUUUCCUGGCCCCUCCCCAUCUCGGCUCCAUGUUGCCAGGCUCUCCCAGGCUGGGUGGGCUGCCAGCCAAGCGGUCAGGAAGGGGAGCUAGAGGGCCUCCGAUAUCCAGGCUUCUUUGAUGCUGCUGGCAAAGCCUGCCCUGGGCACACAAGCGCUCACUCUGAGUCUCUGCUAUCGUGGCCCCACCUUGGUCCGCCAUUGUGGUCCUGGGAUCCUCUGAGCUGGAAGGGCCCUCAGGGGGCCAAAUCCCCUAUUUUACCAAUGAGGAAACUGAGGAAAAGUCCUAGCCUGCAGCCAGUAAUCAAACUUGGGUUCUGUGACUCCAAAUCCCAUGGUCUUCCCACAGACAUUUGCAAAUACACGGAAGCCCACAUUCUCAUAGCCCCAGGCUUCCACAGACGCAUGCCCUCCCCCAUUACACAUGUACACCCCCUAGCAGGGGUCUGGGGCACCAGUGGAUUUCACUAGAGGAGCUGGGAGCUUGUGAACCAGGCUAUUUGAAGGGAAGGACCACUCCCAUCGGUGCCGGGAGACUCAGCCUGAAGCUGAUUGACUGCGGCCCCAUGCGUGUGGGCCCAAGCCUCUGCUGGGGUUCUGUGUCUCCCCUUUGACCCCUCCUCAUUCUCCUUUGGGGUCUCUGCUCUGGCUGCCGUGGCUGAGGUCCCGGGCAGGGAGUGCCCCGGUCAGAGUCCAUCCCCUGGAAGGAGGUCUUCUCUCAUCUUCUCGCCUUCUCCUGGCCCUUUCCUACCCUGCCCCUGCUAGCUCUGGGGGGCUCUGGGACAGGAACGCUACUCCUGGUCCCACACCCUGAAGUCCCUGGGUUCUUGGUGGUCCCCGAUCCCUGAAGCCUGGGCCCUUUGCCUGAAUGUUCCCCGGGGAGCCACAGGAUGCCAAACGCAGAGGGGCCGGUGAGGGGCUCCGCUCCCCACCCAUCCACGUUAUCCAUAGCUGCUUGUCUGCCCGCCUCUUGUGCACCCUGCCUGUUCUCUGAGCCCAGGAGAUGGUCCAGGCUCUCCAGAAGGUCUCUUUCCUCACACCUCUCCUCUUCAUCUGCCACGUGGGCCCUGGGACCAGCGGCUGCUUCCCCUACUCUCUGGACAGAGUCAGAACAACUGCCUUUAAAGCUACCAAAGUAAUUGACUUCCCCAUAAUGCUCAUGUGCCAGCUGCUCAAGGUCUUUCCGGGUCCCGUCCCUGGUGUGUUUGCCCUCCCAGCUCCACGUUGUCUGGAAAUCUGCCAAGCACACCAGCGCUGCCCUUGAUCAACCUUACACAGAAUGGGGCCAAGCGCAGAGCUCUGGGGCCCUGCCUUGGAGACCUCUCCCCCAACGUACCAGAUACACUCAUGAUGACUGCACUAUUUCGCCCACAUCUCUCCGUGUUUUCCGCGUCACGGGAGGGGAGACUUUGAAAGAUGCUUUGCUGAUCUCUGAGGACCAUCUUUCUUUUCUCCCAUCUCAAGAUAAGCGAGAUGCAGGGGCUGAAGAGCUGGAUGCUAUGAAUCAUAGCUGAAUGAAAAGCAUCCAGAUAGAUGUCUGCAAAUGUGCUGAGGUGUCCAGGGCCAUAGAGUUCAUCCAGGAGAACCUGAAGAACUCCAAGAAAGGCACUGUCCAACCCCUGUCCUGGAGGAGGAGCUGCUAUGGUGGAAAGAUCCCAGCUGUGGAGUCCAGAGGCCUGGGUUUAAAUCCACCCACCUAUUUCUUCCCUGGGCAGCUCACUUCCUCUUUUCUGAGGGUCGGUCCUGGCACCAGUAUCUGACGCCUUUGCACACGGCCCCUCCUAUCAAGCCUCCAACCUGCUCUAGACCCAGAAGCUUCAGCAGGAGGCUCCUAACAACUAAAGCCAAGUGAAGACGCCAGAGGCAGCAGAGGCCGAGAAGUCGGCGGGCAGGAGAUCCUUCCGCAUUGGAGGCCCGCGAUGGUUAAGUACCAAAGUAAGAAGGGAGUGAAUCCGGGCCUGGAGCCCCGAAGCCGCCCUUCUCCCCGGGGCAGCCCGAGCCCUUCCAGGCUGGCUCUGAGGCCCCCCGCCGCUCCAAGGUCGCCCCUUUCUUCAUCGAAUUUGUCAGCUGUUCUGGGCUUUUUAGCCCUCGCCCAUCAGCUGUCGUUGUGUCCAAAGCACGGGCACUUUAGCAACACUUUCACUAAAGGACGUUCUGGUAACUGUCUAACAGCCAGCUUCCCAAAAUCAAUAAAUAAAUACAUGUUUGUCGUUGUUCUUA